rnacentral:lncRNA from 1 species
CCGUCGUCGGUUCCAGCAUCGCCAUUUCCACCGCCAGCAGGAGAAGCAAACGAAACUGCGGAGCUCGCAGCGCGGCGUUCGCGGGGGCAGUCCACGAAAGGAUCAAAGCGAGGACGGAAACGACACGGAGCCGAAAGAGCACGGAAUGCGCCAGCAGUUGCUGUUGUUAAAGAACCUAACAAGACAUUUUAGGUUGCGGUGGAGUAAGGCAUACACAGACGUUCUCUGCCAGAGAGAGAAAGCGACAAAGACAUACACAAGGCUACAAUGAGAGAGGGAAAAUGAAGGGUCAGCGGAGAAGAUGAGAAGAUAACAUAAGAGAGAGAGAGAGAAAAUGAAGGGCGAGUGUGUAAAGACAUG